GCUUCUAUAGCUCAGUAGGUAGAGCGCAUCCUUGGUAAGGAUGAGGUCCCCGGUUCGAAUCCGGGCAGCAGCUCCA
rnacentral:tRNA from 1 species